rnacentral:rRNA from 1 species
UACGUAGGGGGCAAGCGUUGUCCGGAUUUAUUGGGCGUAAAGAGCGUGUAGGCGGCCAAACAGGUCAGCUGUGAAAACUCGAGGCUCAACCUCGAGACGUCGGUUGAAACCGUUUGGCUAGAGUCCGGAAGAGGAGAGUGGAAUUCCCGGUGUAGCGGUGAAAUGCGCAGAUAUCGGGAAGAACACCCGUGGCGAAGGCGGCUCUCUGGGACGGUACUGACGCUGAGACGCGAAAAGCGUGGGGAGCGAACGAGG